UCAUCUUUAUCUCUCCCCAG
rnacentral:miRNA from 1 species